rfam:Comamonadaceae bacterium CG2_30_60_41 cg2_3.0_scaffold_9665_c, whole genome shotgun sequence.
UCGCAUCCGCCAAACGGUCAAGCCGUGACGCGGGAGGUUAAUCAA